GGGCCGUGGCCGAGGGCGGCGGCUGUGCGCGCCGGCCGAUAGAGUGGGCGACGUGAUCACUGCGAUCGUACUGAUCGACUGCGCCACC
rnacentral:tRNA from 1 species